rnacentral:rRNA from 1 species
UACGGGAGGCAGCAGUGGGGAAUAUUGCACAAUGGGCGCAAGCCUGAUGCAGCCAUGCCGCGUGUAUGAAAAAGGCCUUCGGGUUGUAAAGUACUUUCAGUCGUGAGGAAGGUGUUAAGGUUAAUAACUUUAGCAAUUGACGUUAGCGACAGAAGAAGCACCGGCUAACUCCGUGCCAGCAGCCGCGGUAAUACGGAGGGUGCGAGCGUUAAUCGGAAUUACUGGGCGUAAAGGGCACGCAGGCGGUUAAUUAAGUUGGAUGUGAAAUCCCCGGGCUUAACCUGGGAAUGGCAUUCAAGACUGGUUAGCUAGAGUCUUGUAGAGGGGGUAGAAUUCCAUGUGUAGCGGUGAAAUGCGUAGAGAUGUGGAGGAAUACCGGUGGCGAAGGCGGCCCCUGGACAAAGACUGACGCUCAUGUGCGAAAGCGUGGGGAGCAAACGAGGGAUUAGAUACC